CAGUCGCCGCGGUAAUACGAAGGGGGCUAGCGUUGUUCGGAAUCACUGGGCGUAAAGGGUGCGUAGGCGGAUACUUAAGUCAGGGGUGAAAUCCCGAGGCUCAACCUCGGAACUGCCUUUGAUACUGGGUGUCUUGAGUCCGGAAGAGGUGAGUGGAACUGCGAGUGUAGAGGUGAAAUUCGUAGAUAUUCGCAAGAACACCGGUGGCGAAGGCGGCUCACUGGUCCGGAACUGACGCUGAGGCACGACAGCGUGGGGAGCAAACAGGAUUAGAUACCCGUGUAGUCCCUGUCUCUUAUAC
rnacentral:rRNA from 1 species